UGCAGGAUGCUCACAAAGCUACCAUGCAAAAAUAUUAGCUGGUGAAGGGAAUAGCUGUAACCUUCUGCUCAGUUUUGUGUCCCCUGGGGAACAUACUAUAAGUCAAUUCUGUGCCAUGCAUUACCUGCCAACCAAUUUCUGAAUGUGCUUCUGGGACCUGAGUAGUAUCUAUGAGAAGCUGAGACCUGGCUGCCUUGGAAGUGGCUUUUUUUAUCCCCAUCUCCAUCAGGAUAGUCAUGCAGGAUGUUCUUUUUGGCUUGUUCAGGAGCUGAAAUAUGAAGUACCUUGGAACUAUUUUUUUCUGUCAAUGCACCAUGCUACUUCAGAUUUUCACUUGAGCAGAAUCUUGUUUCUUGCCUUCAGGACUGGUCUCUCAGGAAGAGUUGUGUUUGUCCAGGCAUCUUGCAAAACUUGCAAGGAUUUUGUUGAGAUUGGUGGCAAGGUCAGAGAAUACUAUUUUUGUCUUUUGAAGUAUAAAUGUAAGAGGCAGAUUCUAGUUGUCUGGAAGAAUGCAUCAAAAUAUAUGACCAAGUAGGCAAAUGAAGAUACAGCUGGGUAAAAGGUUUGUUAGACAUAUUGAAGACUGGCAGUUCAUAGAAAUAAUCUGGCAAAAGCAAGUCCUUUGAGGAGAAGGUGAGGAAGCUGGGGUUCUUUCGCCUGCAGAAGAGAAGAAGAGAGAGGAGAGGAGUCUCUUCAUCAUCUUCAGCUACCUGGAAGGAGGUCGGAGUCAGCAGGGAAUGUAACUGCUCAUCAGAGGACUUGCUCUUCACUACCCUGUUUGCUACUGUCAUAAAUGUGGGACACAAGAACAAGGCUUUGAAAAUCUGUGCAAAACUUUCAGUCAGUGGGGAUCCAAGAGUUUUCAGGCAAACAGAAAUACUUAGGAAGGAGCAUUUAAUGGAGUUUCCUUCUCCAUCUUCCUGCCCCAACCCAGAAGAGACAGACCCAUUCAGGACUGCAUUAAUCAGCUCUGGAAUGAAACUAGUGGUGGUAGUUAAAUGUUCUGGCGCUGUAGGAGAGGAAUGGAACUGUUAUCCUUGCUGCAGGAUGUGGCUGUGGUUCAUUCACCUGAGAGACUGAGACCCUGGGAAUUUUAUGAAAGCUAAAAAUGUUUUGCUAUGAUGACAAUGUCUGAAAGACGAAAAAGUUAAAUGUUUUCACAAGCAUGUGAAAAACAGUUUUCAUGUCUCCAAACAGAGGCUUGGAUUUCACUCGAAUUCUCUGCUUUGUGUGAUUUUCUGCCUGGAUGAAGGGAGGAUAUUGGAUCUGUUGGGCAGCAGUCAUGUUCUUUUCAGCAAAUGCCUGAAGCAGUGGUGGCCCAAAAGGCAGAUGCUUUGUGUGUGGAGUAAGCCAGACUCUGCUUAUGACUCCCCCAGUUACCUAGCUCCUGACAUGGUGUUAGCACACCAUCCUACAGCUUUCCCAAACACCAGGCAGCAAAUCCGAUCACCUCUAUGUAUCCGCAGUGUGCUAAAGACAAAAAUCCCAAAGCACAAAAGUGUUUUACAUUGAUAUCUGGAUGCCCUCCUCAUCCCCACUUAUUGUAUGAGCAACAAGGUGGGAACACAGCACACUGUGGCAUCAGGAACUCAGGUUUCCACUAGUGACCACUGUUGAAGGCAGAAGUCUAGGCUAAGUGUGCUCUGAAUCCAGGAUACAGUCCUAUGCUCCUAUAUUUCAGAAUUCUUCAAUUUCUCCAGCACAGAAAUUUUAUUGAGCUCUUCUUGAUUUUACACCCUUCUGAAUUACUCCAAUGAGUUCACAAGCUAUGAAAGGAGAAGCGGGACAAAAAGAAAAAGAUUUAUUUCAAUGCCCUCUGAUUUCUGUGCAGUUUCUUUUCCUUGUGAGUACAGUCAUCAGAAGAAAAUUCUGCCUGAAUUCAUGAUACUCAUUGACGCUGACUGCAGCAAAAGCAGCUCUUCCGUGACUGCCAGUCAGACAAAGUACAGGAUGAGCUUCCUGCUUGUACCUACAUGUGAUCUGAAGAGAGGGUAAAAGGUUUUCUAUCAAAUUCUCCAGUUAAUUAAAACAAGGGCAGAGAGGAAAAGGUGUAACUAGUAGAGUAGCUGCACUCCCUUAUGCUUCCAGCAAGCCCAGCUGCUUGUAGAGUCAUGCAUAAAGUCUAAACCAAUUUUUCAUUAACAAAAUUUUCCAUUCCGGCUCCACUGAUGCAGAGGUUUCCGCUUUCAGACCCCUUGCUGUGUUGCAGAGCUCGUUAUCAGUUAUUAUUCAUCUGUCCUCAAUUCAGUGAUCAGAUCUGUCUGCUGCUGCUUUAGGAGUCAGAAAAUCUAGCCAAACUUACUGAGAGAAAAAUAUAAAGCAGGAAAACAUAACCAUUGCAUGAAGUGCUUUUGCUGUGGGCUGCCAAUCUCACCCUGGCAUCAUGUAGAUAAGAAAUAAUUUUUAAUCAACAAAGACAGGGCCACUGCAGACGAAGCCUGAGACAAAGAGAACAAAAAGUCGUGCUGUUCUCCUCUUCAGCAGAGCUGAUCCUGAACGCUUCUCAGGGAUACCGGUGACUGCAAUGUACCAUCUCAUCAGAAUUCCCACUAACGUCCUUCAUCUCUUUUCCUCACCGAGUGUGAGUAGCUAAGAAGGUGCAAAUAGGAAUAUUAAGCUCUCUUCCUGAGGGACAGUUCCAGAGGCGAACUGUCCCAACAUCCACUACUUUCCUGGUGUGGAAAAGCUAGUGGCUCCUGAUUACACUGAGAAAGAAGGAAAAACCAGACAUGGGUCAGUCUUGCAUCUAUAUAUGUACUGCUUCCAGCUGAGUGUAGUUUGUAGUGAAUAAGAAAGCUCAUUCCUCAUGCAGAUAAUUUCUAUGCAGCUUUGUAAGGCUUGAACAAGCCUGAGUCUCCAUGUCUAUUGCUUCUGCUACAAGGAUUACCUUUUGUAAAAGUCAAAAGUCCUGAGGUGCAAAUGGUGACAGAGUUGUGACAUACAGCCACUUUUGGGAGGAUGAUUCCAAGACUUCUGCCUGGCCUUGAGAACAGGGCUGUCUCUG